CUGGCCGCCCCUCGCCCGCUGAAAUCACUGGCUCUGAGAGCCAAGCCCCGGGGAGAAUCGAAUUUGGGAUAGUUUCAAGGAUAGAAGAUGCCAGCCCCGUCUCCGUUUUGCCUUGUAGCUGGUGUUUUUAUCCAAAUGUGAAAAGCGCUGUCUCCACCUCUCUUGCACUCCCACAAACCCCCCUUUCCAAAUGUCCUUCCAGCUGCUAUUUUUGAUUCCGGCCUCAAGGCAAAUGUUUCACUGUAGCAGAAUUACUGUAAAAUUCCUUCCUGUGCUCCCACAGAUAAUGGAAACUCAGGCUCCACAGAACCUAGGACAAUUCCCUAGAGAACCCCAGAAACAUACCAUUUCAGAAAUGGCCGCAAGGUAGUCCCAGAAGACAGAUCUAAGGAAACAGAGCUACCAUAAGAGGUUAUCAUCAGAGCGACGGGUCAAACAAUGUGCUUGUUUUUAAUGGCAAGACUGAAUCUAGGAGAAGACAAAAAGGACUAACGAGAAGACUGAUGAUAGGUAUUUCCAUUACGCUGCUGUUUCAGCAUGUCCGGGGAAGUCCUGAGGAUGGUCAGUGUCAAGUUUAAGAACUGCCUCUCAAAUCCAGGUGGGAGACUGCUACACACCAUGCAGGUGUUGACAAGAUCACGUGUCUCUAGCACUUUCUCCAUU